rnacentral:misc_RNA from 1 species
GAUGAAGAACGUAGUGAAAUGCGAUAAGUAAUGUGAAUUGCAGAAUUCAGUGAAUCGUCGAAUCUUUGAACGCACAUUGCGCCCGCUAGUAUUCUGGCGGGCAUGCCUGUUCGAGCGUCAUUUCAACCAUCAAGCCCUGUUUAGGCUUGUGUUGGGGCCCUGCGGUUGCCGCAGCCCCCUAAAUGCAGUGGCGGGCUCGUUGUCACUCCGAGCGCAGUAGCGUAUCUCGCUCUGGGCGUGGCGGCGGGUGCUAGCCGUGAAACACCCACUAAGGUUGACCUCGGAUCAGGUAGGAAUACCCGCUGAACUUAAGCAUAUCAAUAAGCGGAGGA